UACGUAGGGUGCGAGCGUUAAUCGGAAUUACUGGGCGUAAAGCGUGCGCAGGCGGUUGUGUAAGCCAGAUGUGAAAUCCCCGGGCUCAACCUGGGAAUGGCAUUUGGGACUGCACGGCUAGAGUAUGGCAGAGGAGUCUAGAAUUCCUGGUGUAGCAGUGAGAUGCGUGGAUAUCAGGAGGAAUACCGAUGGCGUAGGCAGGUCUCUGGGCCGAUACUGACGCUCAUGCACGAAAGCGUGGGGAGCAAACAGG
rnacentral:rRNA from 1 species